rnacentral:lncRNA from 1 species
AUCUCAGCCCCAUGUGUUCUCGGCUUGCUGGUGGAUGAUCAUGAAUAAUUCCUGCAGGAGCAAGUGCCGGAGUAAAACAACCAGGCUGUCCCUGAACAUUGUAAAUCGAUGAGCACAGAUGUCUCCCAACGGAAGGGAGGCUUUCUUCUUUUCUUUGUGUUGAUGCCGAAUUCUAGGAACCAACCUAGAACGAAGAGGCUGCAGCCAGAACCAGGCUACCCGCUGCCCGUUUUGAAGGAAUUUGACUUACAGACUGGCUCCAAGAUAAAAAUCAUCUUCAUCUCCAGGAACAGGUGCAAAAGGUCCCCUGCUAUUAGCAGCCUAUGAUUCUUCUCAUUUCUUACAUGCAAAUAAAAUUUGUCUUUCAUUCA